rnacentral:rRNA from 1 species
UACGUAGGGGGCGAGCGUUAUCCGGAAUUAUUGGGCGUAAAGAGUGCGUAGGUGGUUGUUUAAGCGUGGGGUGAAAGGCAAUGGCUUAACCAUUGUGAGCCUCGCGAACUGGGCGACUUGAGUGCAGGAGAGGAAAGCGGAAUUCCUAGUGUAGCGGUGAAAUGCGUAGAUAUUAGGAGGAACACCAGUGGCGAAGGCGGCUUUCUGGACUGUAACUGACACUGAGGCACGAAAGCGUGGGGAGCAAACAGGAUUAGAUACCCUGGUAGUCCACGCCGUAAACGAUGAGCACUAGGUGUCGGGGCCGCAAGGCUUCGGUGCCGCAGUUAACGCAUUAAGUGCUCCGCCUGGGGAGUACGCACGCAAGUGUGAA